ACAAAGCAAGUAAUAUAGGAACAGCCAAAACUCCAAAGGAGUAGCAUGCUAGAGGAAGCUAAUUUAGACAUCUAAUGUAUUUACAGUGCUGCUGGGAUGUCCUUGAAAUACUGCAUUUGUAUACUAUAUUUGUAUUUAUUGCUAGGUUCCUAGGAAUGGGGUUAUCUUAGUUUUAUUUGGUUGUCCUUUCUAAAGAAGCAAAGCAAUUUGUCCAUGAAACUAUAAAGUAAGCUCUCCAGCAAAAGAAAGCUGAAAGUACCCAACUGCCUGCUCAUGGAAACUAUUACGUGAGGAAAACGUAAUAGUUUAUUACGUUUCUCUAGCUCAAAAUGUUUCUUCAUUGUGAAUGAGGUGCAGACAUUACCAACUGAAAUGAGUAACAGCUUGAUAUGGAAGGGCUGGUUAAAACAAUGUUAUCACUAGUGGCUAUGCUGUCCCUAUGCUGUCACAACAACGCAGAUACCACCCCAGGCUAACAUCCAGUUAUCUAACGAGGUUUUUUUAUGUAGGUUCUCGAGCGUGUUUUGUCAUAGUAACAUACCCAGUAAUGCCCACAGAAUGGCUGUGCUUCUGACUACCUCUCAUCUGUGACGUAGUGAUUUUCUUAGAUGACUUCCAGCAACAGUGAAAUGGUAGCACUGGUGUAGGUACACCAUCCAUCAAAAAAAAAAAAAAAAGACAUUCUGUAAUAAGAGCAUCAGAGUCCUGUAUUCAUUAAAGACUUUGUGCUCAGCCUGUUCUGCUACUGUGGUCUAUAGCUGGGAUAAAGAUGCUAAUUCUUGCACAAAUAGAUAUUAACAGAUGAAAGUAGGAAGGCAUUCUGGAUAAAAAAUGUGAGAUUUUCAAAUUUUUCUUGUCCUUCCAAAUAACCUGGAGAAGGAAUGAAGGAACUGUCCUGCACUGACAAAGCAACAGACCUAGCAAGUCUUUCCAUUCCUCAUAUUGGCAGGAGAAUCUACCUUCCCAAGCAAAUCCAAGCCUGCCUGCAAUUGAAAUGCCUGAUUUUGAUUUGUUAAAGAACAGAUGCUCAAAAAUGCAGAGUGUGGCCAUAUGCAACCUGCUGGCAAAAUCCUACAGUUCAGAAGUACGUAAUAUAUUGGACCAGAAGAAUUUCAAAUUAAUAUUUUUCAAAAUGAAAUAAUAAUUAUGCUGAUAUUAUAAACUGCAUUGCAGAAUGUUAUAUGCUUGGUAAGAGAAAUAUCUGUAUUAUCUACACUUAUCCACAACUCAGCAAGUAUAUAAUAUAGAAUUUUAUGACCAGAGAUUUUUGCCUUACUUUGAGCCCCAACCAUUCUCAAACUGACUUCAGUGGUGCAGACCAUAUUUCAGCAGAAGCAAUCAGUUACUGAUUAUGAAGCAGUUUAUUUGGGACAUUUCUCCAGAUUUUUGAGGUUUCCUUUUCUAAACAUUAAGACAAGCUUAAACUUUGGAGAAGGUCCAUAAAUCAACAGAUGGAAAGAGUUUACAGAUCAAUGGAAAUGACUUCUGAUUUUUUUCCAUUUCAACCUGUUUAUUUUUUUUUUCUAAAAUAAUGAUUUUGUCUGUCAAAUAAAGUGUUUGCAAAUGAAUACUAUUGAUUCUGG
ensembl:lncRNA